rnacentral:rRNA from 1 species
AUUGAACGCUGGCGGCAUGCUUUACACAUGCAAGUCGAACGGUAACAGGCCUUCGGGUGCUGACGAGUGGCGAACGGGUGAGUAAUGCAUCGGAACGUGCCCAGAGGUGGGGGAUAACGCAGCGAAAGCUGUGCUAAUACCGCAUGUGAUCUGAGGAUGAAAGCGGGGGACCAGGCAGCAAUGUUUGGCCUCGCGCCUUUGGAGCGGCCGAUGUCAGAUUAGGUAGUUGGUGGGGUAAAGGCCUACCAAGCCGACGAUCUGUAGCUGGUCUGAGAGGACGACCAGCCACACUGGGACUGAGACACGGCCCAGACUCCUACGGGGGGCAGCAGUGGGGAAUUUUGGACAAUGGGCGCAAGCCUGAUCCAGCAAUGCCGCGUGCGGGAAGAAGGCCUUCGGGUUGUAAACCGCUUUUGUACGGAACGAAAAGGCUCUGGCUAAUACCUGGGGCUGAUGACGGUACCGUAAGAAUAAGCACCGGCUAACUACGU